AUCAUGAUCAUAUUGAUUUGGAAAAUCAAAUAAAAUUGACUUGAUCCCACCUUGCAUCCUAUAUGUAAUGGAAUACUACUCAGCCAUAAGAAGAUGGAAUCUUGUCAUUUGAGACAACAUGGAUGGACCUUGAAGAUACUAUGCUAAGUGUACUGAGUCUAAUUGGGAAAGACAAAUGCUAUAUGGUUUCACUUAUGUGUGGAAUAUGAACAAACAGAAUUAAUGACCAAAACAAACACAUAAAUAAGAAGAGAAUUGUGGUUAUCCAAUGGGAAAGAAGGCAGAGGGAAGGGCAGAAUGAGUAAAGGGAAUCAGCUGUAUGGUGACAAGUAGAAACUGAAGUUUUGGUGGUGAGCAUGCUGUGGUGUAUGCAUCUGGAAACUUAUAAAAUAUCAUAAGCCAGUGCUACCUCAAUUAAAAGAAGUAAAGUGUUGUCUUUGACAAAUACUGAUAUAAGACACUCCGUGAUUGCUAACUUGAGUCACCCUGGGUUUGAGAAUGCCUUCCUGGCUUGGCUUCUGGUACUCACCUGUGAGAUGUUCGAGUAUUGGAGUUGCAGAUCUUGUGGGAGAGACAUUUCUUUCCCUGUGAGUUACCACAUCCAGGCAAGCAUGCGGGUCAUGUCAAGGAUCCUAGGCAAGUUCUCAGUAUGUCUCUAAGAUACAUUUCAUUCCUUGUGUUUCUUUGUGUUGCCAUUCUAAAAUGCAAACAGGUUGAAGAUGGGAGCUGUCUUUAUUGGAAACUGAACAGUGCCUAACCCCUGUGGAUGUCCACUGAGUGUUGAAUAACAGCAGUGAUCAUGUAAUAAGGACACCGGCUCACUCAGGAGAGAAUACCAAAUAGCCUGGAAUUUUCCUGUUGCUGGCAGCAUGGCCCAGGAGCAUCCUGAGAUGUGAGAAAGCUGAAGCAGGAAGGAUUCCUAUGUAUUGGAAUGAUAGCCAUUGGAAUGGCAGCCCACGAAUGGUACCUUCGAGACACGCCCCUCUUCUAUUCCUGUAAAAAUGGGUAGGGAUAAGAUAACUCAGCAUUUGGGGAUUUUGAAGCUUUCUAAAGGCCUGAAGACAGAAGCACAGACUUUUUAAAGCAACAAGCAAUGGCAAGUCAAUAAACAUCCUGCCCCUCCUCUGCUCAUCCAGCCCAAUGAUGAUGAAAUGCACACCGACAGGAGCAAUGAGAAAAAUAAUAACAUCAUCACAGGAUCGAUGUCUAUUGCUGGCUUCAUAAAUAAAGGACUUGGCUUCCUA